rnacentral:rRNA from 1 species
UACAGGGGGGUGCAAACGUUGCUCGGAAUCAUUGGGCGUAAAGCGCACGUAGGCGGUUCGUUAUGUCGGAUGUGAAAGCCCUUGGCUUAACCGAGGAAGUGCAUCCGAAACUGGCGAGCUAGAGUACGAAAGAGGAUCGCGGAAUUCCCGGUGUAGAGGUGAAAUUCGUAGAUAUCGGGAGGAACACCGGUGGCGAAGGCGGCGAUCUGGGUCGAUACUGACGCUGAGGUGUGAAAGCGUGGGGAGCAAACAGG